ACCCACCUCCCUCGCGAGGCCACGCCGCCUCUCCCACAACGCUGAAAAAUCCUGACGCCCACUCUCAACUCUUGCCCUCCCCUCCAUCCCCACGCCGCGGCCGCCGCUCCGCCUCGCCGGGUGGGCGCGCGGCGUGGCGGUGAGCGCGCGGGCUCCACCGUCAGCCGGAGCGCGUGGUGAUGUUGUCCGGGACGGCGGCGUCGCGAAGAUCGUGGGGGCUACUUCGAGGAGAUCUCCUCGUAGGCAAGUUUUGUGGCAUCGCGGCGCGGUACCAGGCGGCCCUGCCGCCUAUCGGCACGGAAGGGGUAUGCCUGCUCACGUCCCGGUUCCCCGCCGCAUCGCCGGCGGCGGCGCUCUCGCCGACCAGGGACCCUCGCGGCGGUGGCUCUAGAGAUCGUCGCGUCCCCAUCUCCAUCCCCAUCCCCCGCAAGCCGGAGAGGAAGUUUCCGUCCCCACGCAAGACGGCCCGAGCGGCGGCCGUGCAGGAGCAGCACCCUCAGCUGAUUCCCUCUCUCGCCUCCCACCCUUCCCUCGUGAGCAGAGCGGUUCCAGCUCGCUCCCUCUCCCUCCGCCACUCGCUGGCCUUAGAUCAAUGCUGCCGCCAAGGUUCGCUGAGACAUUCUUCGUUCUGUUUGUAGCCUAAUGAUGUUGGUGAAUGCAUGUUUCAGGAACAUAAGCGCCAAGAGGAAGGUACCUCUGCAUCGACUGCAAAGAAAUCACACAAGCUUGGUCAUUGCACGUGUCCCUCCUCUCUGAAAAGAUUUCUGGCGGUUAUGGCAUAUGCUAGGUGCCAAAUAGUAUGCAUGUGUUAGUGAGAAAGAUGAGGAGAUCAACUGAUCCAGGAUGUGCAACAUUAUAAGACAAUCCCAUGAGCAGGCAUGUACCUUUGUGUACCUCGGUACGUCCAAAACACUAGCAACAACCAAGUGAACGGUUGGAAAAAGGGAAACAAGAAAAAAACCCAAAUAAAAACCAUAUAGAUAUUGGAAGGCAAACAAAAGUAGUAGAGAUAUGGUAUUUUGGUUUUGACAAGAUUUGGAACCCGUUUUAGAAAUUGAUAUUGUUUGAAGUGCACUUGUACCGAAUUCAAACAUUUCUUUCCUAAUAUCUUCAAAUUAUAUGAUUUUUGCUAAA